CUCUAUAUCUUCUUUUCUUCAUUAUUCGUAUAUUUUGUUUCAAUUAUUAGUUUUGUUCUAAUUACAGUAUUUUGCAGGUGCGAUUUUUACUCAAAAGAAUAAACAAGAAAAGUCUCUAUUCUUGGAGACUAAUUGAUUAAUGGGUAGUCUUCAUCCUAGCGGAAGCACAAUUAUUCCUUGAUUUAUGAGAAGAGCGAUAUAUACAGUUAUGGAGUAGUACUAAUGGAGACGCAAUUGGUAAAAAAAAUCAGUAGUGCCGGAAUUUGGAGAAGGAAAAAGUAUUGUAGAUUGGGUUAGAUCUAAAGUCAAGACUGAAGAAGGUGUCGCUCAAAUCCUCGGUUUAUUAUAUCAAUCAGUCCGGAAAGAAGUGGCGAUAGUUCUUAGAGUGGCAUUUCCUGCUGAGCGACCUUCCAUGAUGGUGGUGUUACCUUGAGUCAGAAAUUAGGAAUAUAAAUCGGGGGGAUUGACAUUGGGGAUGCCUAAACCAUCUUUGCAAUUCAUGUGGACUACAGGUGCACUAUAGCAUUGGGUCUGUUGUUAGAUAAGCCCUAACGACAAUAUGUGUGUUUGAAAUAAAAAAUGGAGAACAAGAUAAAAUCUCUGUGGAAACAUCAUAUGAUCGGUGAUAAUGUACUAGCUGUUUAGUGCAUUUUUCGGCAAGGGGUUAGGGUUAGGGCUUUACUCGUAAUCAACUAACCAAGUUUUAUCUUUAGGGGUUAGGGCUUUCUUUAGACUACCGUUGAAGAAGAAUAGGAAAAAUUGGCCGAUGAUUUUACUUCUACUUUCCUAAUCUAGCUUCCCAAAAUGUCAGUUGAAGAAGACCAUGACGAUGUCAUGAGUGAAGAGGAUAUCACAGUAGUAGAGUCGAUGACAAUUCAAGAGAAUGCUUCAAAGAAAAGGAAAUUUACAUCAAAAGUAUGGAAUGAUUUUGAUUAGUCACGAGACAAAGAUGGUAAAAAAAAGGCUACGUGCAAGCAUUGUGGGAAGGAAUAUGCUUAUGACAGUCAGAAAGGAGGAACAUCAACUAUGUCAAGGCAUUUAAAGAAGUGCCCUAGACUGAAGAUGCAAGAUGUGGGGCAACUUUUGUUAUCUACAAAUAAUGGAGAACUGGCUACUCGUGCACGCAAAAUAGAUCAAUCAAAAGUUCGGGAUUUAGUUACAAGACUAAUUAUUGGUAAAAAUCUCUCCUUUAAUUGUGUAUAAUGGACUGAAUUUAGGGAGUUAUGUAGUUAUCUGAAUGUCGAUGUUGAAACCAUAUCAAGGAAUACUACAAGGUCUGAUAUUCUUAAAAUGCAUAAGUUCCAAAAAGAAGUUAUUCGCAAGAAAUUACAAUGUGCUCCAGGUAAAAUAUGUCUAACAUCAGACAUGUGGACCUCCGUCAACACCACUGGAUACAUAAGUUUAACAGUACACUUUGUUGAUCAAGAUUGGGUAUUGCAGAAGUUUCUUUUAAAUUUUCUCCACUGCCACCACCCCAUACUGGUCAA